GAUGAACGCUGGCGGCGUGCCUAAUACAUGCAAGUCGAGCGAAAAGACGAGGAGCUUGCUCCUCUGACGUUAGCGGCGGAGGGGUGAGUAACAUGUGGAUAACCUACCUAUAAGACUGGGAUAACUUCGGGAAACCGGAGCUAAUACCGGAUAAUAUAUUGAACCGCAUGGUUCAAUAGUGAAAGACGGUUUUGCUGUCACUUAUAGAUGGAUCCGCGCCGCAUUAGCUAGUUGGUAAGGUAACGGCUUACCAAGGCAACGAUGCGUAGCCGAGCUGAGAGGGUGAUCGGCCACACUGGAACUGAGACACGGUCCAGACUCCUACGGGAGGCAGCAGUAGGGAAUCUUCCGCAAUGGGCGAAAGCCUGACGCAGCAACGCCGCGUGAGUGAUGAAGGUCUUCGGAUCGUAAAACUCUGUUAUGAGGGAAGAACAAAUGUGUAAGUAACUAUGCACGUCUUGACGGUACCUAAUCAGAAAGCCACGGCUAACUACGUG
rnacentral:rRNA from 1 species